AUACGUAGGUGACAAGCGUUAUCCGGAUUUACUGGGCGUAAAGGGCGUGUAGGCGGUCUUGCAAGUCAGAAGUGAAAUUCCUGAGCUCAACUCGGGCGCUGCUUCUGAAACUGCAGGACUUGAGUGCUGGAGGGGAUAGCGGAAUUCCUAGUGGAGCGGUAAAAUGCGCAGAUAUUAGGAAGAACACCGGUGGCGAAGGCGGCUAUCUGGACAGUAACUGACGCUGAGGCGCGAAAGCGUGGGGAUCAAACAGGAUUAGAUACCCUGGUAGUCCACGCAGUAAACGAUGGAUACUAGGUGUGGGUGUCGCAGGGCAUCCGUGCCGCAGCUAACGCGUUAAGUAUCCCGCCUGGGGACUACGGUCGCAAGACUGAAACUCAAAGGAAUUGACGGGG
rnacentral:rRNA from 1 species